UAGUAUACGUACCCUGAAUCACAUAUGGGUUGGCUUUGACAUCCUGUUGGGUGAGUAUGUAGACUCUACCCUAAAUUAUGGGCCUAACCUAGUUCUGAUUCCUAGUACACUCUCUCGCAAAAUGUUGGACAUUCCUACAUAUGUGACAGAUAUUGUUGAAGCGAUAAUAGGGUCAGUCGCCAUAAUCCCUUGUACAAUGUUGGCAAUUCUUGCCACGUCCCGCCAUUGAGGCCUAAGGAGGGGCCUAAGGUGUUGGCCUUGGCCUCUUGUUCUGUAAGCCUGAUGCAGUUGGUCCUGGCCUACGGUGCAAAACUGGGGGUUUAAAGUUGUUCAAUACUGAGGAAAAAGUUUGAAUAUUUCUCUCAAUCAGCUAUGCCUUGACUAAAACCACCAAAUAUGU
rnacentral:lncRNA from 1 species